rnacentral:rRNA from 1 species
AUCUACAGCCAUACCACCCUGAAUGUACCCAAUCUCAAGAGCUAAGCAGGGUUGGGCCUGGUUAGUACUUGGAUAGGAGAAUGAGACUUCUCAAAGUCCCCACAGCCUCCUGUGUGUCUCUGUCGCCUGACGAGA